rnacentral:misc_RNA from 1 species
UCCGGUUCUUCACCGGCAGUCUCCUUAGAGUCCCCACCUCUACGUGAUGGUAACUAAGGACAAGGGUUGCGCUCGUUACGGGACUUAACCCAACAUCUCACAACACGAGCUGACGACAGCCAUGCAGCACCUGUCUCCUGGCUCCUUGCGGCACUCCAACCUCUCAGUCGGAUUCCAGGGAUGUCAAAAGUAGGUAAGGUUCUUCGCGUUGCAUCGAAUUAAACCACAUGCUCCACCGCUUGUGCGGGCCCCCGUCAAUUCCUUUGAGUUUCAACCUUGCGGCCGUACUUCCCAGGCGGAAGACUUAUCGCGUUAGCUUCGAUACAGAAGGGUUCCCCCUCCUACAUCUAGUCUUCAUCGUUUACAGCGUGGACUAC